CAUCACCAAAUUUGGCAUCAUUCAUGAACAAGUAGACAACAACAAAACCCCCCAUCAAAACCUUGUAGACAAACCUAAAAAGAACAAGUACAACAAAAGAAAAAAAUACCAAAUUAAAUAUAAAUAUAUAAUUAAAAAAAAACCCAUAUAAAAUAUAAAAAGAUUAGAAAGAAAAAAGGUCACCCCAUUCACACUUCGAUAGAUAGUGCAUUCCAUCAAUUAAAGUAGUCUCCUUUCACUUUCCACUCCAAACCAAACACUCCACUUCCUUCCGAUGACCAAACCACCGCAUCAUCAACAUCAACACCACCGUCGUCCUCCCAAAUCGGGGCGUACGAAUCUGGCGUCAUGCAUCGUGGCAACAAUCUUCCUAAUCUUCCUACUCAUCGUCAUCCUAAUCGUCUUCUUCACCGUCUUCAAACCAAAAGACGUCAAGAUCUCCGUCAACGCCGUCCAGCUCCCGUCCUUCUCCGUCUCCAACAACACCGUCAACUUCACCUUCUCCCAGUACGUCUCCCUCCGCAACCCCAACCGCGCUUCCUUCUCCCACUACGACAGCACCCUCCAGCUCGUCUACUCCGGCAACCAGGUUGGGUUCAUGUUCAUCCCCGCCGGCCAAAUCGACGCCGGCCAGACCAAGUACAUGGCCGCUAGCUUCUCCGUCCAGUCCUUCCCUCUCUUCCUCAAUCCCCAGGCCGCC
rnacentral:lncRNA from 1 species